ACAUGUUCCAUGCUCUUACUACGAUGCAUGGGCAGGAAGAAAUUCCUGCACAAGGGUUUGUACCAGGCCUGCUGGGAACAUCAGAUGGAGCCCUGCAGUUCAUGGCCUACAAGAAACUGAAAUGGACUUUACAAGCAUUUCCAUCGACCCAGUGACACAAAACCGGAAAGAAGAGUUCCAUGGAGUCUACUAGAGCAAUGUCUUCAGCAUUAUCCCAGUGACCUCCGCCGGCGGAAUCACCUUAGUAGCUUCAAUUCUACUUUCAUUUU